GACGAACGCUGGCGGCGUGCUUAACACAUGCAAGUCGAACGGAAAGGCCCUGCUUUUGUGGGGUGCUCGAGUGGCGAACGGGUGAGUAACACGUGAGUAACCUGCCCUUGACUUUGGGAUAACUUCAGGAAACUGGGGCUAAUACCGGAUAGGAGCUCCUGCUGCAUGGUGUGGGUUGGAAAGUUUCGGCGGUUGGGGAUGGACUCGCGGCUUAUCAGCUUGUUGGUGGGGUAGUGGCUUACCAAGGCUUUGACGGGUAGCCGGCAUGGGAGGGUGACCGGGGACCAUGGGACUGCGGUACGGCCCAGACUCCAACGGGAGGCAACAGGGGGGAACCUUACACAAUGGGCGGAAGCCUGAUGUGGCAACGCCGCGUGCGGGAUGCCCGCCUUCGGGUUGUAAACAGCUUUGGCCUGAGACGAAGAGUGCGUGACGGUAAUGGGUAAAGAAGCACCGGCUAACUACGUG
rnacentral:rRNA from 1 species